rnacentral:rRNA from 1 species
GACGAACGCUGGCGGCGUGCUUAACACAUGCCAGUCGAACGAACGGACGAGAAGCUUGCUUCUCUGAUGUUAGCGGCGGACGGGUGAGUAACACGUGGAUAACCUACCUAUAAGACUGGGAUAACUUCGGGAAACCGGAGCUAAUACCGGAUAAUAUUUUGAACCGCAUGGUUCAAAAGUGAAAGACGGUCUUGCUGUCACUUAUAGAUGGAUCCGCGCUGCAUUAGCUAGUUGGUAAGGUAACGGCUUACCAAGGCAACGAUGCAUAGCCGACCUGAGAGGGUGAUCGGCCACACUGGAACUGAGACACGGUCCAGACUCCUACGGGAGGCAGCAGUAGGGAAUCUUCCGCAAUGGGCGAAAGCCUGACGGAGCAACGCCGCGUGAGUGAUGAAGGUCUUCGGAUCGUAAAACUCUGUUAUUAGGGAAGAACAUAUGUGUAAGUAACUGUGCACAUCUUGACGGUACCUAAUCAGAAAGCCACGGCUAACUACGUG